CGAGUUGACUGUAAACCCAUUGACAGGGCACUUCUUUUUUUUAUUUUUACAAAACAUAUAUUUUUUAGAGUAAAAAUGGCGACCUCCAUGAAAAAAUUCGGCGUUUAUUGAAAAUAACUCCACAAUAACAUAGUGAAGGGUGACCAGUGAGAUGUAUGCGAUCUACAAGCAGUUACACCCUCCCACUGGGGUGGAGCAUUGUGUUUACUGCAACUUUCUCAGUGGAAGUGAACAGAAUCUUGUGAUAGCAGCUGUCAACCAGAUACAUGUUUACAGGCUCACACCUGAUACAGAACAGGGGAUUGACAAAGAUGGCAAUGAAGAAGAGAUAAAACAAAAAUUGGAAUGUCUGGCCACCUUUAGCUUGUUUGGAAAUGUGAUGUCGAUGAAGUCUGUACGAUUACCAGGAGCAACCAAAGACGCUCUCCUUUUGGCAUUUGCUGAUGCAAAGUUGUCAGUGGUGGAAUAUGAUCCAGGAAUGCAUGACCUACAGACAACCUCGCUGCAUCAUUUUGAAGAAACCAAAUUCAAGGACUUCAGCGAUCCCACAGGUAUCCCCACAGUACGUGUGGAUCCCGAUGGUCGGUGUGCGGCCAUGCUGAUCUACGGGACCAAGCUGGUGGUGCUGCCUUUUAGGAAGGAUGUGUACAGUGAAGACGUUGAGGGAAUCAUGGAUGGGGACGAGCAGGGAACCAAGACUAGGUAUCCCAUACAGAAUUCGUACAUCAUCGACAUGCGCAGCUUUGAUGAGAAGAUCAUCAAUAUCCUGGAUUUCCAGUUCCUGCAUGGAUACUACGAGCCCACAGUGUUCAUCCUCUAUGAGCCGUACCCCACAUGGGCUGGGCGUGUUGCGGUGCGCUCAGACACCUGUAGCAUCGUUGCCAUAUCGCUGAACAUACCUGAGAAGGUGCACCCCAUCAUCUGGUCUCUGUCUCACCUUCCAUUUGACUGCCUCCAUUGUCAGCCUGUACCCAAACCUAUCGGUGGGGUGCUGGUGUUUGCUGUAAACUCGUUGCUGUACCUGAACCAGAGCGUGCCACCCUACGGUGUCUCCCUCAACAGCAUGUCCUCAACACGCAGUGUCUUUCCCCUGAAGGUUCAGGAUGGUGUACGGAUCACGCUGGACUGUUCACAAUCAACAUUUAUAUCUUCUGACAAGCUGGUAGUCUCGUUGAAAGGCGGAGAACUGUAUGUGCUGACCUUGAUAGUGGACGGAAUGAGAAGUGUGAGAGGCUUCAACUUUGACAAGUCUGCUGCCAGUGUCCUCACUACCUGUAUGUGCCUGUGUGAGGAGGGAUACCUGUUUCUGGGAUCUCGCCUAGGCAACUCUCUGCUUCUCAAAUAUACAGAGAAGGCUCAAACCGUGGAAAAGGAGGCCAAAGAUAAAGACAAACCCACAGAACCACCAACAAAGAAAAAGAAAACUGAAGGGCCAACUGAUAUGGCGUCAGAUGUUUUGCUGGUGGAGAACUUGGAUGAGUUGGAGGUAUAUGGGGCCAGUGAGAACCCAUCGGGCACCACCAUCACCUCAUAUGUGUUUGAGGUGUGUGACAACAUCUGGAACAUUGCUCCCUGUGGCAUGACUGUGAUGGGGGAGCCAGCAUUCCUGUCAGAGGAGUUUAACGGCACAGUUGACCCUGAUCUUGAACUGGUCACCACAUCAGGGUACGGCAAGAAUGGGGCCCUUUCCGUUCUACAGAGGAGUAUCAGGCCGCAGGUGGUGACCACAUUCGAGCUGCCCAGCUGUAUGAACAUGUGGACUGUGAUGGGCCCGCCCCAGGAAGAGGGGCAGAACAAGGAGGGGGAGGAGACAGGGGGACACGCCUUCCUCAUACUGACACGCUCAGACUCCAGUAUGAUCCUGCAGACAGGCCAGGAGAUUCAGGAGCUGGACCACAGUGGGUUCAGCACGCAGACCGCCACUGUGUACGCAGGCAACAUAGGGGACGGGCGAUACAUCGUGCAGGUGUCCUCAGGCGGGGUCAGGCUGAUUGAUGGAGUACAGCAGCUGCAGCACAUCCCUAUUGAGAUGGGCACUCCCAUAGUGCACUGCUCAGUGGCAGACCCCUACAUUCUUAUCACCAGUGAGGAGGGUAUGGUGAUGAUGCUCACCCUCAAACUGGAGGCUUCUGGCGCCAGGCUCGUGCUCAAUAAACCUCUCCUUGCAAGUAAACCUCGUAUUCUGGCGAUAUGCGCAUAUAAGGAUGAGAGUGGGAUGUUUACAACAGCUCCAUUAGAGGUAGAUGAGGAGGAGGCGAGGACGGAUAAGCGAGAAAACAUGAACAUCUCCCUAGAAAAAGUCUUCAACAUGGAAAACAGCACGGUUGAUGAUGAGGAUGAGCUGCUGUAUGGGGAUGGGGAGACGUCCGGGAUGGACACCUCAGUGAACGCCAGCGUACGCAAGGAGAUGAAAACCAGGAAGGGGCCAGUAAAGAAGGAGGUAAAGACGACCUACUGGCUCACCGUGUGCCGGGAGAAUGGUUCCUUGGAAAUCGUGAGUGUUCCCGACUUCAAGAUCUGCUACUACGUGAAGACUUUCCCAAUAGGACAGAAGGUCCUUGUGGACUCACUGCAGCUUGAUGUUAAAGCAUCUAGUUCAAACCAGGCCCAGGACAAGGGGCAGCCUGACAACUUCUCCAACAUCGUGGAGAUACUCAUGGUGGGGCUGGGCCACAGGAAGUCCAGACCCUAUCUGCUGGCCCGUAGUGACGACGGCCUGCUGAUCUAUGAGGCGUUCCAGUACCACCAGAGUAAGUCAGACAACCACCUGAAGCUGAGAUUCAAGAAGAUCCAGCACAACCUGAUCCUCAAGGAGCGCAAGGUCAAGUCCCGCAAGCGUGGCGACGUCGAGAUCGUUGAUGAGUUUGACGAGCUGAAGGACGAACGGGGACAGUGGUUCCGAUACUUCGAAGACAUCUCAGGAUACAGUGGAGUAUUCAUAUGCGGUCCGUACCCCCACUGGCUGUUCAUGACACAAAGGGGCUCAUUAAGGAUCCAUCCAAUGGGGAUUGAUGGGGCCAUUACCUGCUUUGCCCCAUUUCAUAAUGUGAACUGCCCCAAAGGGUUCCUCUACUUCAAUAAGCAGGGUGAGAUGCGUAUAUCAGUGCUGCCUACCCACCUGACAUAUGAUGCACCCUGGCCAAUCAGGAAGGUACCUCUACGAUGCACGCCCCAUUUCCUUGUGUAUCACAUGGACAGCAAGACGUAUGCUGUGGUGAUGCACAAUCCAGACAUCUGCAACAAGCUACCUAAGACCACCUCAGAAGAGCGUGAGUUCGAGGUGUUUGAGAAAGAUGAGAGGUUUGUUUACCCGACUGCACAGAAGUUCCUGUGUCAGCUGUACAGCCCAACAUCAUGGGAGGUUGUACCCAAUACACAGAUAGAAAUGGAGGAGUUCGAACAUGUGACCACACUGAAGUAUGUACCGCUGAAAUCUGAGGAGACGGUGUCUGGCUACAAGGGGUACAUCGCCAUUGGGACCAGCAUCUGUCUGGGCGAAGACAUUCUGGGACGGGGCAGGAUCAUCAUAUUUGACAUCAUAGAAGUAGUCCCAGAGCCUGGCCAGCCCCUAACCAAACAUAAAAUCAAGGUUAUAUAUGACAAGGAACAGAAGGGUCCAGUGUCAGCUCUCACACACUGCAGUGGCUACCUAGUGUCAUCUAUAGGUCAGAAGAUCUUCAUGUGGACACUGAAGGACAAUGACCUGGUGGGUAUAGCGUUCAUUGACACACACAUCUACAUCCAUCAGCUUGUCACCAUCAAGUGCCUCAUCUUCGCAGCAGACGUACAGAAGAGCGUCACCCUCUACAGGUACCAGGAUGCUGAGAGAGUCCUAUCACAGGUGGCUAGGGAUGUAAAACCCAUGGAGAUCUACACUCUUGAUUUCUUUAUUGAUGGAACCCAACUCUCCUUCGUGGUAACAGACAAGUUGAAGAACAUCAUUAUCUACCAGUAUCAGCCAGAAACUCGAGAGAGUCACGGUGGCACGCGACUGGUGCGGCGCGCUGACAUGAACGCAGGCUCACACAUCCACACAAUGUUCCGAGUACGGUGCAAGCUCAGUGACCCGUCCACAGAGAAGAAACUUAGCGGGCCUGUGGAGCGACGUCAUGUCACUUACUUUGCCACUCUAGACGGCAGCAUAGGUUACUUACUACCAAUUCAGGAGAAGGUGUACCGUAGGCUGCUCAUGUUGCAGAACGCUCUCAGCAUACAGAUUCCCCACAAUGCAGGGCUAAACCCAAAAGCCUACAGGGCAGUGCAGACCGACUCCAGUGACCUGGUGAACGCCCACAAGAACAUACUGGAUGGGGAGCUGCUCUGGAAGUUCCUGCACCUGAGUAUCCUGGAGAAGAAUGAGACAGCCAAGCGUAUCGGCACCAGUGUGGACCAGGUAAGCGUAUCGGCACCAGCGUGGACCAGGUAAGCGUAUCGGCACCAGUGUGGACCAGGUAAGCGUAUCGGCCAGGUUAGCGUAUCGGCACCAGCGUGGACCAGCUUGUAGAAGAUCUGAUGGAAACUGACAGACUCACUGCACAUUUUUGAAAGCAUGUGAAGAAUUUCAUGAUAAAGAAUACUGUGAAAACAUUAAAUGUCCUGCUGUGCUGUGCAUGUCCUUAACUAUGGUAACAAAAACAGGUUAUACAGAAGUAGACACUACCGAUGUAUAGAGUAUUUAAAACAGUUUUACAACAACUUUCCUCUGAUAAACAAUGACAGUCAGUGUUGUUCCAGCCCGGCCUGAACAUUUGUACAGUCUGAUCUGGACUCGUAUUCGCCAACCCAUUUGUAGACUUAAGAAUAAAGAAUAGACUUAGAGCCUAGAAAACUAUUUCAGCCUUUGAAUAUAUACAUGAUAACACUUGUGAUUAUGUCAUUUAUAUAAUGUUCUACAUGAAGAAUGAUGUAGAUAGAGGUGGUUAAUGUCAAGUUUGACUCAAAAUAAAUUCUUCUAUAUUCUAAAAUAAAGAAUAUUCUUUAUUCUUAGACUUAAGUCUAAGAAUUGUUUGGUGAGUACUGGCCCAGGAGCUUCCUGGUCUGCCAUUAGGUCAUGCAAGGUUAAUGAGACAAUGAGCGGACAGUACGAAUCCGCAUAAGAGGAUAUGGAUGCAUUUCUGGAGCUAAACUGCUAGGAUGUUUCUUUAGACCCAUUUGUUGCACGAUGUAGCACAUAAGAUAUAAGUACAUAACUUUUCCUUGCCUGCAGGGGCAGUUCUUUCUGCAAAUUCUACAGUACACCUAGAUCUCAUCUGUUUUUUUGUGGUGAUCAUAUGUUAAGCAUUUAGUACACAUAAAUGUGUUGAGAAUCAUUGUUAUGGUAAUUGGUUUUUAAAACUUUAUUGUAAAUGUUAAGUGCAAAAAACCUUUAAAAACAUUUCCUUGGGAAUUGUUAAGUGUACUUUUCAACUUGUUAACAAGAACUAGCGGCUGAAUAUGUCAGUGUUUGUUCAUUGUAAAAGACCAUGUCAUCAUGUAUUGUGAAUAAAUGCGUGUUGAAGAUUACGUAACUUGGUAUGACAUGAUCCACCUCAUGUGAAAAUGGGUCUUAUGCCAGUCUGUGCAAUCGGGUCAGGAGUUACCCUGACCGUUUGUGAGACCAGGAAACCUUGUAUGACUUUAAAGCGAAUUCUGGACCUCACUGCUUAAGUGUGCUGGCUGUCAAGAGCUACAUUGGCCACAUGUGGCAUAAUACCCAUUACAAACAAGGUGGCUUAAAUGUUAAUGAUUAAAAUGUGAAGAACA